AUAUCAAUAAGCGGAGGAAAAGAAACUAACCAGGAUUCCCCUAGUAGCGGCGAGCGAACCGGGAAAAGCCCAACUUGAAAAUCUCNNGCCUUGGGCNNNNNGAAUUGUAGUCUAUAGAAGUGUCCUCUGUGACCAGCCAAGCCCAAGUUCCCUGGAAAGGGACGUCAGAGAGGGUGAGAACCCCGUCGGUUUUGGUGUAGGUCACCCCACGAGGCGCUUUCGAAGAGUCGGGUUGUUUGGGAAUGCAGCCCAAAGUAGGUGGUAAAUCCCAUCUAAGGCUAAAUACUGACGAGAGACCGAUAGCGAACAAGUACCGUGAGGGAAAGAUGAAAAGAACUUUGAAAAGAGAGUUAAAAGUGCUUGAAAUUGUUGAGGGGGAAGGGAUUGGAAGCUGUGAGUGCGCCCAGGCUUAUGUUCUCCGCAAGGGGAGCUGUAUGUGCUGGGUGCUGGUCAGCAUGGGUUAGCCGGGAGGGAUAAAAGUGGGGGUUGUUACUCCGCCUAUGUCUCUCGGCUGACUGAGGAUUGUAGGCCGCUCUUUGAGCCCUUCGGGAGCUGCGGCCUCAUGAUGCUGGCGGAAGGCUUCCAAUCCGCCCGUCUUGAAACACGGACCAAGGAGUCUGACAUGUAUGCGAGCCGGUGGGUUGAAAACCAAUGAGACGCAAGUAACCUGACUGGUGGGAUGGCUUGUGCCUGCACCAUCGACCGACCAUGAUCUUCUGUGAAAGGUUUGAGUACGAGCAUACACGACGGGACCCGAAAGAUGGUGAACUAUGCCUGAGCAGGGCGAAGCCAGAGGAAACUCUGGUGGAGGCUCGUAGAUGUGCUGACGUGCAAAUCGCUUUUCGGACUUGGGUAUAGGGGCGAAAGACUAAUCGAACCAUCUAGUAGCUGGUUCCCUCCGAAGUUUCCCCCAGGAUAGCUGGAGCUUGAUCAGUUUUAUCAGGUAAAGCGAAUGAUUAGAGGUACCGGGGAUGAAACAUCCUCGACCUAUUCUCAAACUUUAAAUAGGUAAGACGUUUGGGUUGCUUAAUUGAACCCAGGCAUUCAAUGGGAGCUCCAAGUGGGCCAUUUUUGGUAAGCAGAACUGGCGAUGCGGGAUGAACCGAUAGUCGAGUUAAGGUGCCCAACUGCACGCUAACCUAGAUCCCACAAAGGGUGUUGAUUGAUAUAGACAGCAGGACGGUGGUCAUGGAAGUCGAAAUCCGCUAAGGAGUGUGUAACAACUCACCUGCCGAAUCAAUUAGCCCCGAAAAUGGAUGGGCCUAAAGCGUGCGACCUAUACUCGCGCAUGCUGGCAAGUGCGAAGCUGGCAUGAGUAGGAGGGCGUGGG
rnacentral:rRNA from 1 species